UAUAAAUUAAGAUUAAUGGCUUAAGAAAUUCAAUUUUGGCUGGGUGCAGUGGCACAUGCCUAUAAUCCCAGUGGCUUGGGAGGCUGAGACAGGAGGAUUGUGGGUUCAAAGUUAGCCUCAGCAAGAGUGAGGCACUAAGCAACUCAGUGAGCUCUGUCUCUAAAUAAAAUACAAAAUAGAGCUGGGGAUGCGGUUCAGUGGUCGGGUGUAUUUGAGUCCAAUUCCUAGUACUGCCCUCCCCCCCAAAAAAAAGCAAGAUAAUUUUAACAUUUUUGCUAUUAAUAAGAAAACUAAUCAUGUUUUUUCUUUUAUGGAUUUUCUUUCUUCACUCACAGGACUUUGACGAUUUCCUCUAUGUUCAAUGAUUCUUAUAAUUAUCACUCAAACCCUGAUUUCCCACUUGAACUUCAGUUCUUAUUUUCAAGUUCAAAUUUUCAUGCUCUAUUUUAAUAUAUAUCAAUAGCUUAGAUUCAGCAUGUUAAUUCUCUCCCAAUACUUAUGCUCAAUGAACCAAUGGCCUUGACUUUGUUAAAUAUUUUUUUUAUUCUUUUAAAAUCCCAAACUAGCAAACUUGACUCAUCUGUAUUCUGUACAUACAGGCAUUAAAUUGUUACUUUUUGCUAAUGUUUUUAAUGUUCAUCCUCCCCUCCACAAUUCUUGCCUAUUGCCUAGAUCAGGCUGAAGAAAAGAUUCCUUCUAAAUGAUCACCACAGUCUUAUUAUCUUCCUCUUUUCAUUUAACCAGUUUUGCAUAUCAGUCUUCCAUAUUUUAGAAUCUUCAGUGACACAAUAAUUCUCCUAUGUCAUGUCAAAGAACUUAUAAAUUUUAGAGCCUAAGAAAAUAUAGAAUAUAAUGUUUUAGUCAGCUUUGUAUCACUAUGAUCAAAAGACCUGACAAGAACAACUUGAGGAAAAGUUUAUUGUGGUUCACAGUUUCAGAGGUUCAGUUCAUGGUUAACUGACUUCAUUGCUCUGUGCCCAAGGUGAGACAGAACAUUCUGGUUGCCUGGCAUGGUGGAGGAAAGCAGCUGAGGACAAGUCAGCCAGGAAACGAGAAAGAGAGAGAGAGCUCUGCUCACCAGGGACAAAAUAUAAACCCCUAAACAAUGUGCCCUAAUGACCUACUUCCUUUAGGCACACCCUUCUUGCCUGCAGUUACCACACAGUUAAUCCAUAUCAGUGGAUUAAUCCACAAUUAGGUUUUAACUCUCAUAAUCUAAUCAUUUCACCUCUGAACAUUCUUGCAUUCUCUCAUACCUAAGCCAUAACAAUAUAAUUCAAUCCCCCUUUUCCUUAGUUUUAUGGAAGAAUGAAUCCCAGAGCUAUCACAUGACAUUGAUAAUUGGUGACAAUUCUGGAGUUGAUCUUAAGGUGUAUAUAGACCAUGUCUUUGAAUUCCUUUUUAUCUCCAUUGUACUGGGUGUUAAAUUGUUCAUUAAGUAGAACAUCUAAUAUUUAUUGAUAAGUAAAUUAAACCAUCUCUGACUCCCUGUUAGUAAGUUCCUUUUUAAAAAGAUGUAAAUUUAAUUUAAACAAUCAUAAGCAAAAAAGUUAAUUUCCUAGCUCACAAAUAAAAGUCCAUUAGUAGAAGCAUGGGAGGAUUCAAUGGCUCAAAUGAUUUCUAUUUAGUUCUGUCUCUUGAUAGGCCCUCUCUCUGUGGCAGUAUGAUGACCUGUGGUCAAGGUAUCCCAGAACUUACAGGAAGAAAUCGUUCUCCCUAUCAGGAUUGGGAGAAAGGUUUCCAGAAAGGACUUUCACUCAUUUUGGGUUUUAUGAGUCUGUGAAUGAAACACACUGUCUAGAGAAGGAGUACUCUGAGCAGCCAACCUGGGACACAUAUCUCCUUCAGAGUUGAGGAAAUGAGUUUAUUCUGAUCUACCACCAGAAUCCCAUGGAAUAGAUGAGAGAUAAGUGCUUAAAAAGAAGAGAUUUUGGAAAAGUGGGAGAUAAGCACUAAAUUUACUUUUCUUGCCCCCAAUAUCUGAACAGCCACCAAAAAAUCCUCCAUUGUUGGAUCUCUCGGAUCUACUUUCUCUCUUUGAUUCUACUAUCAACAAUUUAAUCCUACUAUCAAUCUCUUAACCAAUCUUUUGGCUACCAGCCACUCUAUAAAAUUUAUCCUAUACACAGAUAAGCACCUUAAAGUAAAGAGGUUAAAGUCAUUUCCUUAUUCAAAGUUAUCCCCUUUGUUGGGUGAUUAACUCCUUAGCUUGGCAUUCAAGUUUUUCAGAAACUGGUUAACAUUUUUUGAUUUUCAGUUUUACAACACCAGAUGCAGUAGGUGGGAAUGGAGGUGAGGAGUUGAAGGACUGUCUGGAACACCUGCUCUUCAGCUAAUGGUCUUGUGAUAUGGAGGUUAGAUGUUCUGACUCAAAGGUACAAGCUUGGGGUAUUCAUUUUGUUGUUUUGUUUUUAAUUUUUAAUUAUCCUGCUAAGAGCCAAGUAUAUGAUGCAUGGCAUUUUUGGUCGAAAGGUGACGCCAGCUAGCCAUUGAGAUGAUAUGAUUAUGUUAAGAUUUGCAUUCAUAUGGAUAUUGGACUCCUGCUGUUCACCUAGGCCGGCUAUGGAACUCCUGGAGAGUUCCCAUUGGUUGGGGAAGUACAGUAGGAGGGAGUUCCGGGGGAGGAGCUCUCUCUGCGGGUGGGGGAGGAGGCCGCGUGGGUGGAAAAAAUCUUCCCGGGU
rnacentral:lncRNA from 1 species